CUUUGCCUGAAGUCGCGCGAGGGAAUCAUGUGUUUCGUAAGGUGUCAAAGGAAGCAUCGGGCAUGGUCUAUUCCUUGGCUAAUCGGUUCUCCAAACCAAACGCAUCCUUUGUCUCUCUUUAUAUAAAUUCCUACAUGCGCUCGCACUUGGAACGGAGCACAUUAAAUUCCAUAAAAAAAAGUUCUAUUUAUUUCGCAGCGUACAUAAAUACAUACAAAAUCGCCGUGUUGUUAUUGUCAGAUUUUCCCGCAUCUUCCGGCGACUUUUUCCGGUUCAGCUAUGGCUUGAUGUGGUUUUUCUUAGUUAACAAAGACUCCCACCAGCCUAUGCGCAUAGCUAUAUAUGCCUUUUCUUUUGAGGUACUUAUUUGUUGAAGUAGGAAGAGAGGGAGAAAAAAGUCUUUGCUGAUUUUCCCACAGGAGCCCUAUCCACGGAAGAUAAAAAGAGGGACGUCCAGGACAAUAGAUACAAAAAAUCAGGUGGCAAAGAGAGCCUUUGGUUAGACCUAUUCACAAACGAUUAUGUUUUAGUUGUGGUUCUCAAUAAACUACCAUGGCAAUAAAAUCCUACCAAGAUCAGGCAGAGCUGCUCCUGAAGGAAUAUUUGCUAGCUGGUUCUUCUAUCCUAUACACUUCUGUUAUUGUUGGCAUUUGUGCUUGCAAUAUGGUUUAUGAUCUUAGCCAGUUAUUCAGUCAGUCUUAUUUACUUCAAGAGCUAUUCCAACCUUACAAAAAUGCAACGUAUUGAGUGGAAAAACCGGGCAAUAUCCACAUUUCAUGCCAUUUUCAUCACAGUUAUAUCUUUGUACUUAGUAUUCUGCUCAGAUCUGUACUCUGACUAUCGUCCUGGUCUUAUAAUAUUUCGAAGUUCUUCACUGUCUACAUUUGCGUUAGGGGUUUCUGUUGGUUACUUCAUUGUUGACCUUGGAAUGAUCAUCUGGUUUUAUCCUUUUCUAGGUGGGAUGGAAUACGUGAUUCAUCAUCUUAUUUCCAUGAUUGCUGUGGCAUAUGCUAUGUUGAUUGGGGAGGGGCAGCUUUACAUCUACAUGGUUCUGAUCUCAGAGACAACUACGCCUGGGAUCAAUCUGAGAUGGUAUCUGGACACAGCUGGAAUGAAGAGGUCUAGAGCAUAUCUCAUAAAUGGAGUAGUAAUAUUCUUGGCUUGGCUGGUUGCCAGGAUACUCCUUUUUAUAUACUUCUUUUACCAUGUCUACUUGCACUAUGAUCAGAUCAGGCAAAUACACAACUUUGGGAAACUUUUGGUUCUAACAGUGCCGGUAGUGCUGUCUGUGAUGAAUUUAAUGUGGUUUUGGAAGAUUAUCAAGGGACUGAAAAAGACAUUAACAAAGAGGCAUUAGCAAAGCAGAAACUGAGGAAUAUCUCAACUGGUGUUUACUCUGGUAUUCUCUCUCUAGUGCACAUGCACGUUUGUAAAUGGCCUUUCAUAAUCUUCUAUUGCAUGAAGAUAUUUUGCUUUGGAUUGUAACAUUGAAUAUAAAUUUCAUCAUUCACUGUGAUAGAUGGUAAUUUGUGCAUGUUUAGAAUGGAGAGAACGUGGCGUUUUUCGUGUACUUACAUUAAAAAAAAAAUUCCUUAAAUUACAACAUAUUACAAUUUUCCAA
rnacentral:misc_RNA from 1 species